CCAGCUGAGGAGCCACUGUUGUGUCUAGACGUUCACAUCGACGUCUUAAUUUUAAUAGUAUAUCCCAUUGUCUGAUUCUGUACUUCAUUAAGGUCCAGUAUUUUAUCUCGACAUUAACUGUGUAUGACAUUUGGGACGACUCGCAUACGAUGGAAUUGUUCCUAUGCCAAUUCAUAGUUCCAAUGGUAUGUCAACUGAUUGGGCUGACUCGACUACAGUGGCAACAAGGAACCAUAUGACUGUCCUUAAACUAUUUGACUGAUGGAUGUGGAUGUUGACAGUCGGCCUGCGCUGUGGGAGUCCUGACAAAAUGCUACACACCCUUUGACAGCCUCAUCCCUUAUCCUCUCCCCGUGGUUCUUCUGGGGAGAGGACCAGCGGGUGUUUGGUCUGGGUCACAUUGGCACUAGAUGUAAGCACCACCGAGGCAACACGGGAAGCUAAUUGGAAAAAGGUUUGUGCUUUAUGAGGACCGCGGAGAGGGCUUUCACCACUUCCAUGCUGAGUGAGCGGCCGAACUGCACAGGGAGGCCCACAGGUCUGUCAACAACAUUGUCAUCAAGAAAAACGGCAUCAUACGUCUGCUUCUGCGGCCAAUAACAUUAUUCACCGUCUGUUCUUUUAACCAAGAACACUUGUUCGCUGACUCACUGCAUUCUCCUCCUCGCUCACACUUAAACAGUGCUGUCAAUCCUGCUGUCAUCUCCUCGCGUUCUGCUGACCAGACAGUGCAAAAGAAUCGGCAAAUCGGGGGUGACUCGAAGUUCAACACACCUGGAAGGCGCCUGGGAUACGUUCUGUCUCCAAGUCUAUGAAAUAUUAAUUGCACAAAUAAACAGAAAGUUCUAACGUG